AGAGAGAGAGAGUUGAUCAGUUAGGUGAUUCCACCAAGCUAGCUUUAGCUGACUAUGAGAGGUUGAACAGCUGCAGCCUUUCCUCUGCCUACAUCCCCCAGAAUGCUGUGCGGUUCUGGACCGGAGUUCUGUGAAUGUUCUAUAUAUGAGCACAGGAGGACACCCGGCCGGCGCUGACGCUGGACCGGAGCUGCUGCUCCCGAGCCAAGCGUCUGCAUGUGACCCACUGGGAAUGAGGACGUGUUGACACGCUCGCGCUCUCGCUGGCUUGAAUAAGGUCAGGGAUGAGGACAUCCAGAGCACGUCCUGAAGGCUGCGGCGGAGCUCCAACUGAAUUGCUUAUUUGUUCCAUAACGUGACUCUCCCUCCCUCCGCAGACAGUGACUAUGCACGGGGCCUGACCUUCUGCGGUGCCACUCUUUCCAGUGUCUUCUUUUCAUUUUUUUUUCUUCCUCACUGGCUCGUCUUGUCCUCCCCACCUUCUCUCGGUUAGAUCAGACUGUCCUGCAUUCCUGACAUUCCCACUGCGCAUGUUAGAAAUUCCACCCGGCUGCUGUGGGCUGGAGAAAUCUCCUCCACUCCUCCUUUUCCAUCCCCUCUCUUCAUGCUUCACUCUCGGCGAGCUUGACCGUCCCGUUUCGAGGUGAAUAGAGUCACAUGACGAGCAGCGUCGAGGGCCUUGAGACGGGCUUUCAUGCACGGAGCAACAGCGUGAAGGAGAUAACACACACAAAGCCCACCGAGGCCGCGCUGAGAGCAGCAAAAGAGGAAGGCAACACCGAGCAGGAUGUCUGCAUCAGAGGAAAAUAGGAAUGAUGACGUACAAACACAAAGAGGAAACUACUGACAUUAAAGCUCUUGAAACUGGGUUACCACAGAGAUAACCCUACAAGGCUAAUGAGAGGCGGCAACAAAGAGCCAGCACAGCUAAAUGUAUUUAAGUAGGUUUACUUUACUUUAAAAUGCUAUGCAGCUGCUGUAAAUCAAUGGAGAGAGUAAGCCUGUUGCAAUAAAUCAGUUAAUCAUAUGGUACAUUUUAAAUAAAUCAAUAAUUUACCUUUGUGUAAUUUUUUUCUCUUUCUACCAAAAACUGGAUGACAAAAGUCUUCAGUAUGCCGCUUUAGUCUCAAGACAAGAAUUCUUUAAUUUUCUGCCGAUUCUGUUAUUUUGGAUAUUUAGAAUGUCUUCCAGUUCCAGUUUUGAAUGUUCAUUAGAAUUUAAAGUUUGUGUGUUUUUGCAUUAUUAUGCAAUUCCCAUGGUUGUGUUACUUAAUAGCAUCAUUUAUCGCAAAAACUUCUGUGAGAAUUUAUCAUUGGACAAAAUGCGUUAUCGUGACAGGCCUAGUUAUGAGGCGCAGUGGCGAAACCUUAAACUGCUGCUGUGCAAGUUACUCAACAGGUUGUUGCUAGGUAACCAAAGAAUGAGUGAGUUGCUAGGUAACCUAAUGAGUGAGUUAGUUAGUUGAUUCCACCAACUUUACUUUUGCUAACUGUGCGCAGCUAACGCCUACAUCUCCCAGAAUCCUGUGCAGUUCUGGAUUGAGGUUCAGUGAAUAUUCUAUUAAAUUUAUUAUCUAUUCAUAUAGAUCUUGUGACUAUAGUGACAUAAUAUUGUGAAGUGGGAGGGAAAUGUAAAUAAAUAUUUCUUUGCAAAAUAGGUGAAGAGUUCUGGACUUUGACUAGGCCAUUAAAAAACCCUACAUUGUAGUUCUGCUAUGUGUUUAGUGUUGUUGUCCAGCUGGAAGGUGUACCUUUACCCCAUCACCUUUGACCAGAUUCCCUGUCCUUACAGAUUAAAGGUAUCCCCACAGCAUGAUGCUGCCACCACCAUGUGCUUCCAUAGGCUGGGGUAGAGUUAGUAUUUUGCAUGGUCACCAUUCACCAUGUUUGCAAUCCACUGAAAAUGGCACCAAUAGUGACUUUUUUCCAACUUUAACGUUCUUGUUGACACUCAGUGCUCUCCAUAUUUUGUUUGGCAGAUGGGCUAUAAUUUUCCAGUAUUUAACUCUGGUCAUAUCAACAGUCUCCAUGAUGCUGUUGGUUGAAACAAACCUCUCAGGCCUUUGCAGAAUAGAUUGCAUUAGAUUUCUAGUAACGAGCACUGAACACAAUUCUCUUCUAGGAUCAGUUUGAAUUUUGUGGUUGCAAUAUAACAAAUGCUAAAUACCUCUGCAAAGCAUCAAGUUGUGAUAUUGUGAAGUCACACAAUAACACAGAGCAACUGUGUUACACCAACCUCACCAUGAAGCUGCCACAAGGGAACGCAUUAAAAAAAGGAGAACAGAUUUUGCAUAAUGCAGCUGCAGCUCUCUGAAUGGAAAAAACUCAGUAAUGAAAUGUUAAAUCCAGGUAGAUUCCUCUGGCUUGGGUGUGGCCCGGGCUGAGAGGUUGUUUCACGUCCCAGACUGAAGUUUCUAUGACAAACUGAUCGUUUCAUAAUGAGAACAAGGACAAAGACGGAGAAAGGGCGGAGGCUCACAGAGCAGAAAGAUCCUCUUCUUACACUCUGGUGCUCACAGUUUCCAAGACUUUAACCCUGAGAUCAAAACAAAUAAAAGGUUGCGUGUUGACUACUUAAAUGCUGUCCUGAAUUAGUGACGCUGCAUGAUGCCUAUUAGCCCAUCCUCGGGCAUUCAGUGCCAUGUUUUAAUUGAACCUACAUAUGUCCCUUCUUGCCCCAUUCUCCCAUGACAAGGCACGCAACAUGAAUUAAAGGCUGGAACCCAAGUUGAGCAAAAUGGCUUCACUUCUGCAAAAUGAGAGCAGUAAGGCAGCAGCAGCAGAGGCAGCAAAGGAGGAGGACGUGAAGAAAGACGGCAGGAAGAGCCGCUCUGUGACUGACAUCCUGUCGUCUGUAUAUGAUCCUCAUUGACAGGGUGGAUUAUGUCACGCUCCGGACUGCAAUGGCACAAAUGCAGCUCGUGACACAGUCUACUGCGCAUUCCUACCGGCACACUGAACUCUGGCUGCACAAUUAUGUAACAUGCAUAACACCAAGCUUUCCUCUACAACCAUCUGAACCAGAGGAAAAACCGCCCAUACAUGAAGGCAUUUUUGUCUUCUAAGCGUUUCGGCAGAGCUCCACGAUGGACCUGGAGGGUUAAAUAAGUCCCCUGCUUUUCAGAACGUACUUCUUGUUCUCAUAAACAUCCAAAUAAACUUGAAGAAUUUUCCAUCCCUGCCAAAUAACUGCUGGUGUCACUGCAUUUCUGAGAAAUGACUCUGCCUCAGUUAUUCAGAUUUUCACCUAUCGCCUACUUGAGCGCAGGCUUCCUCCUUGGCCUGUCAUGAACUCAGCAAAUUUUAAAGAAGCUUCAGAUGGAGGCCUUUCUUGAUGGCUUAGUCCAGGUCUGGAAGAAGAAAGUUAGAACAUUUCCAGCUUGCAUUAUAACAUUUGUUCAACAUGAACUGCCUGUUUGAAGAGCAAGCUUCCUCAUUCCUCAUCUGAAUUCAUUUUUACCCAUUUUCUGUUACAUUUGUGUAGUUAUAUGUAUUAUGUGAUGAAAAACACUUAAACUGGCUGAAUGUUUUUACUAGAAAUUAUUAAAAUGUGAGUUUACAGCGUAUCCGGACUAAAUGUGAGAUUUCUUGUUAAAUCAACGCUCCUCAGAGUCAGAGGGUCUGAAAGGCAGCAGGCCUUCAACCAGAACUCCUAAAACACCCGAUCUAAAUCCCCAUGAAGCUCAGAGUCAUGAAAAAAGGCGGAAAAAAGCAACAAUCUAGCGUAUAGAUGUGAAAAUCAUAUGAAUAAUGCGUUUCCCAGAGAACAUUUUAAUACAAACUGGGUCAUGAAGCCACCACGGGCUAAAGCAGGCUGAAAGAACCGAUCAGAUUGUGGGAGAGAGAGGGAGAGAGAGGCAGCAGCGCCCAGACAGAACGGAAUCAUCCAGCCCCACC